GGGCGGCUAGCUCAGUCGGUUAGAGCGCGUCACUGAUAAUGACGAGGUCCCAGGUUCGAUUCCUGGGCCGCCCACCA
rnacentral:tRNA from 1 species